GUCUGACCCGAGAGGGAGGGCUCUAUGAAGAGGGCACAGCGAGCUGUGAAUAUGGUUCGGUGUGAAGUUGAGUAAAUUACUGUAUGGCUGCAGAUCUCAAGGGAAGUGAUUCCCUUUCAAAUCACACCUUCUGCUUUGUUUUCGGUGCGUAAAACACUGCUUAAACGGCUACUGGACUAGCAUCAAAACGUUAUUUACAACGAUCACGUGAUGCUGCAUUGUAUGUCAAGUUGUAACUUCAGGCUAUAGGGAUGGCGUCUUCCGGAUAGUGUGAAAUCGCGGAGGCUCUAAUUGAAGGCAUUUCUUCAUAAGUGUUUGAUGCAUAAUAGACGUGGAAAUCAGUAAAUUGUGGAGGAGGUCAACCGCACACAUGUUGCAACUAAGCGCAACUUUCGAUUUGCAGCAGGAUGUGGUGUCAAGUAUAUUUAAGAAAGAGGCGACUGUAGGAAUAAUCAAAGAAUACUCAGGGAUCGUUGACACUCGGAUCCUCAACAUUGAACGGGAUGGAGGAGUCCUCUACUCCUGGAAAGGGGAAACAGGGACCACCAGGAUCGGGAAAUAUGACCCCAAUACCAGACAGAAUAAGCUCCUCUACACAUUUGACAAGCAGGUGUGUGUCAGCAGCUGUUCUCUGAAUAAGGAGGAGACUCUGCUGGCGGUCAGUUUGGCACAGAGGACAAGAACAGAGGAGCGCCUCAGACCAGUUUCAAAAUGUCUGACCCUCCUCAUUGAGAUCCAUCCCAUUAACAACACUAAGGUCCUGAAGGCUGUCGACUGCCGAGUCAGAGUUCAGUUCCUCCAUCCAGACACAGAGAGGGACUCAGUGCUGGAGAGUCACCUGCUGCUGGUAGCAGAAGAUGGCUAUGUGGAGCAGCUCCAUGUAAUGCUGGUCAGACAAGAGGGUUACAGAGUGGUGAUGUUGAACCCAGAGUGCCUGGCCAGAGACAGGGUGGCAGAGGAGUUCAGUUGGGUCCAGUGGGACAGCCAGACACAGAGACUCUUCUACCUCACACACAGGGAAAAAGCUGUGCUGAAAUGUGUGCAAUUCUGCCAUGACCGCAACUGUGAGACCUUGUUUGAGCUUGUCCUGGAGGUGCCCUCUAACCCUUUCAGCUGUAUGAGGUUUGUUAACCUGGGCUUUGACCAUCACCAAGAGACGCAGCAUGAACGGGAGGAGAUGAGGAUGGUGGUGAUCACCAAUAACACAGAGGGGAGUAUGUGUGUGUGUUACAGCCAGCCUGCUUGUGUCAACCAGGAGAUCACAUACACCAUAGUCCUGGUGCACAGAGGCUGCAGUAAAACGUUCUCAGUGGCUCUGGAUGGCACCCCUAGUCCAUGUAGUACAGAUCUCCUCCCUCUCUUCAUCCCUAUAGGUUACUACGUGGUAGUCUACCUGUCUGGUCACUUCCUGCACUGCAUCAACACCAGGCAACAGGAGCUGCUCUGCCACAGCCUCUUCCUCUCAGGUGUUGAUGCAGAGCUGGGUGUGUUGGGAUCAGACGGUGUGGUGUUGUCUCUACCCGAGUCCUCUCUGCUGGACCUGAACACAGGCAGGAUGUACACUGUAGACCUCAACCCCUCCUUCCUAAUGGACCUACUGCACUGCAGCCACAGGAGACCUGACGCUCAACGCCUGGCUGCCCUGCACUGUCUGCUGCUCUACAUGGGACCCAACGCUGCACUAGAACUGAAGAUCAUAGAUUGGAUCUGUGACAAUGUCAUGCCGUUCGACACCUUCGAUCAAAUUCAGGAAUUUAUUCUGGCGUCACUGUACAGGAUCAUCUAUAAGAAGUGUCUCAGUCUGGAUGAAGUCCUACCCUACUCCUCUGUGUUUGAGAAGAAGAAGGUACCGGAGGCUCUAGACCAGGUCCCCGGUGUCACCUGCACCACAGAGCUCCAUGCUGAACCAGAGUUCAAAGGAAAGGCCAGGAGUCUCCAGGGUUAUUGGGAAGAGCUGCAGUGGAGCACAGAAAAGAUGAAGUACUUUGAGGCGGUUCCAAACCCACGAUACAGAGCAUCUCAGAACCUGCCAGACUGGACCAAGCUGCUCACUACCCUGAAGUCAAAGAACAAGAAGGCUUCUAACUAUCUACGUCACAUUGAGGAGAACACUAAACAAGUUCUGUUGAUGGUGGACAGCUGGAAUCUUGAUCAGAAAGUGGUUCUGUUGUUCCAGGAAGAGGAUAGCCAGCAGAGGGCGCUCAUAGGCCUGAUGGUGGACAAGCUGAGAGAGCACCUCAACAGACACCUGCCUCGUCUGGGGAAGAAGAAGAUCGACUUGCUGGUGGUGAACUACGUGGCCAAGCUGCUGGAGCUGAUCAGACGCAUGCUGGAGUCUGUGUGGCUGAAGUACAAACUAGGCCCUUUGGUGCUGUGCUUAAAGCAGCGGGGGAGUUCAGCAGAGUGGGCCGUGUUUCACGUGAUGUGUCGGAUACUGGAGGCUACAAAGACUCUGUGUCUCCCCCUCCCUCCUGGGUAUCACACUCUACUGUCCGUGUUGGGCGUUCGCUGUCUCCCCAGACACACCUUCCUGCAGUACGUUGACCAUGGUGUGCUGCAGCUCACCGAGACCUUCGUCUCACGACUCAUGACAGAUCUAGACAACAGUGAUGCCAACGAGGAGCUGAAGUUCAGCAUUCUGAAGAGACUACCAGAGGGGGGAUUCCGUCCCGAGUGAAGCGAGCGGAAAUAGAACGUAAUUCCCUUUAGAUGCACUUCUCUCUCUGCAUAUUCUGACCUCGGUUGUGUUUGGGGUGGAGGUCAGAGUGUGGUGGAGGUGUCUACAGACGUCGUAUUCUGACCUCGGUUUUGUUUGGGGUGGAGAUCAGAGUGUGGCGGAGGUGUCUACAGACGUCGUAUUCUGACCUCGGUUUUGUUUGGGGUGGAGGUCAGAGUGUGGCGGAGGUGUCUACAGACGUCGUAUUCUGACCUCGGUUUUGUUUGGGGUGGAGGUCAGAGUGUGGCGGAGGUGUCUACAGGGUGGAGAUCAGAGUGUGGCGGAGGUGUCUACAGACGUCGUAUUCUGACCUCGGUUUUGUUUGGGGUGGAGGUCAGAGUGUGGCGGAGGUGUCUACAGGGUGGAGAUCAGAGUGUGGCGGAGGUGUCUACAGACGUCGUAUUCUGACCUCGGUUUUGUUUGGGGUGGAGAUCAGAGUGUGGCGGAGGUGUCUACAGACGUCGUAUUCUGACCUCGGUUUUGUUUGGGGUGGAGGUCAGAGUGUGGCGGAGGUGUCUACAGGGUGGAGAUCAGAGUGUGGCGGAGGUGUCUACAGACGUCGUAUUCUGACCUCGGUUUUGUUUGGGGUGGAGAUCAGAGUGUGGCGGAGGUGUCUACAGACGUCGUAUUCUGACCUCGGUUUUGUUUGGGGUGGAGGUCAGAGUGUGGCGGAGGUGUCUACAGGGUGGAGAUCAGAGUGUGGCGGAGGUGUCUACAGACGUCGUAUUCUGACCUCGGUUGUGUUUGGGGUGGAGGUCAGAGUGUGGUGGAGGUGUCUACAGAUACUUUGUAUUCUGACCUCGGUUUUGUUUGGGGUGGAGAUCAGAGUGUGGUGGAGGUGUCUACAGAUACUUCGUAUUCUGACCUUGAUUUAAUUCCCUCAUAAUUCCACCACCUUUCCGCAUGAUGAAACCAUGAAUAAGGUCUAAUGAACCUACUGGUCUCCAGUGGGACAGUGAAAUAGGCUAUAAACAGCUGAGCCGUUAUUCAGAAUUUGAAUUGUAUGCCCUCAUAAUUUGCGUGGAUGAAAUGUGGUGAUCCAGGCGUCUGUAGGGCUCAACCUGCCGACUUGAUGUAUGCACUUUAAAAUGUUUGAAUUAUAUGCCUGGGCUUUUCGACGGUUUAUUUGACCAUUUGUAUCAUGUUAAAUAUUAGGCACUAUCAGGAGCCACCAUCAGUAAUACCCACAUACAUUUAUAAGUGUUAGUUUUCUUCAAUUUGUACCUUACAUUUAGCAUCAUUCCAUUCUGUUGACCUUCCUUUCCACUGUCACGUCAGUGUCGUUGUUCCUGAAGGUCGCUAGUAUUACUGGAUCAUAUAGACUAACGUUGUGCAAUAAUGUAGGACAUGUAGCCUAUUAGAUCAUUAUGGAACUCAGACCACACGUAGCAGGUUAAACCUGGAGCCUGACUCACGGUUCACCACGACUGGACCGUUGUGAGAAUCAGGGUAGACUCACGGUUCACCACGACUGGACCGUUGUGAGAAUCAGGGUAGACUCACGGUUCACCACGACUGGACCGUUGUGAGAAUCAGGGUAGACUCACGGUUCACCACGACUGGACCGUUGUGAGAAUCAGGGUAGACUCACGGUUCACCACGACUGGACCGUUGUGAGAAUCAGGGUAGACUCACGGUUCACCACGACUGGACCGUUGUGAGAAUCAGGGUAGCCUCACGGUUCACCACGACUGGACCGUUGUGAGAAUCAGGGUAGACUCACGGUUCACCACGACUGGACCGUUGUGAGAAUCAGGGUAGACUCACGGUUCACCACGACUGGACCGUUGUGAGAAUCAGGG